rnacentral:ncRNA from 1 species
CACCGGCCUUUGGGGGCCUGUUUAUCCGACGGAAUGCCUGAGAUCAUACCCGCUGAACCUGAUCCGGAUAAUGCCGGCGUAGGGAACACAGCCGCAGCCCUUUG